UACGUAGGGUGCGAGCGUUGUCCGGAAUUAUUGGGCGUAAAGAGCUUGUAGGUGGUUUGUCGCGUCUGCUGUGAAAAUCCGAGGCUCAACCUCGGACUUGCAGUGGGUACGGGCAGACUAGAGUGUGGUAGAGGAGAGUGGAAUUCCCGGUGUAGUGGUGAUAUGCGUAGAUAUCCGGAGGAACACCAGUGGCGAAGGCGACACGCUGGGCCGUACCUGACACUGAUGCGCGACAGCAUGGGGAGCAAACAGG
rnacentral:rRNA from 1 species